AAGACCUUGCGUUUUUGGAGCGGCCGAUGUCUGAUUAGCUAGUUGGUGGGGUAAUGGCCUACCAAGGCUUCGAUCAGUAGCUAGUCUGAGAGGACGGCCAGCCACACUGGGACUGAGACACGGCCCAGACUCCUACGGGAGGCAGCAGUGGGGAGUUUUGGACAAUGGGCGCAAGCCUGAUCCAGCCAUGCCGCGUGAGUGAAGAAGGCCUUCGGGUUGCAAAGCUCUUUCAGCCGAGAAGAAAAGAUUGCGACUAAUAAUCGCAAUUCAUGACGGUACCGGCAGAAGAAGCACCGGCUAACUACGUGCCAGCAGCCGCGGUAAUACGUAGGGUGCGAGCGUUAAUCGGAAUUACUGGGCGUAAAGGGUGCGCAGGCGGUUUUGUAAGUCAGAUGUGAAAUCCCCGGGCUUAACCUGGGAACU
rnacentral:rRNA from 1 species